rnacentral:lncRNA from 1 species
GAUGAAUAUUCUUUUAAUUCAGAUGUAAAGUGGAAUAUAUUCAGAUUACCAGUUGGACCAGUUUAUCUGCAUUGUUAAGGAAUGAGGUACACAGAAGAUUUUUACAUCUUACAUUUUUAUAUAUUGACAUUUACUUCUAAAGAAAAAUUGCUUUUCCUUUUGAAAUUCCACUUCUAUAAAUUUAUCCUAAAUAGUCUGCAAGAGAGUAAUGCUAAAGAAUGUUCAUCAAAAAAAGAAUAUUCAGAGUUCCCGUUGUUGUGCAACAGAAAUGAAUCUAACCAUUUAGAUUCAACUUCUAGCCAUGAAGUUGCGGGUUUGAUCCCUGGCUUCACUCAGUGGGUUAAGAAUCUGGCCAUGAACUGUGGUGUAGGUCAAAGAUGUGGCUUGGAUCCCCCGUUGCUGUGGCUGUAGUGUAGGAUCCAAGCCACAUCUGCAACCUACACCACAGCUCAUGGCAAUGCCAGAUCCUUAACCCACUGAUCGAGGUCGGGGAUCAGAUCCGCAUCCUCAUGGGUACAAGUUGAAUUAGUAACCCACUGAGCCACAACAGGACGCCACAUUUCGGUUUUUAAAAAUGUUCACUCACACUUAGUGGGGGGAAAAAAGGCCAACAUUUAUUGAACACUUACCAUUGCCAGACAGUGUUUUAAGUGCUUAGCACAUAUUAACUUCUCAAAAGAGCCCCAUGGAACAGAUGCUAUUAUUAUGCCCAUUUUAUAGAGGAAGAAACAAAUAUAAAGAGGUUAGGUUCUUCUCCAAGGUUGCUAGCAAUUGGCAGAGACAGAAUUUGUUUUCCAGCAGAUUGGUACCAAUGAAUAGAAUAGAUUGUUAAUGGUGGUUGUAUUUUAGGUGGUUGUAUUUAAGAUGGGACUUUUGUUAUAUAUUUCUAUAAGGUUUUAUUUUUUAAAAAACAAUACAUGUUACCUCUUUGGCACAAAUGAAAGAUGAAAAGAAAGUUAAAAAUUGCUUUCCCACUCACUGUCUAGGGAUAGGAAAAGAGAAAAAGUGAUUUUGGUCAAGACUAGUGUGGUAUCUAUCACGACACUCCUUUUAUGAGAAAUCCUGGCUCAUUUAUUUUCUCUUCAUAGAACGCCUCCAGAGGAGCUCCUAGGGAUUCAAAAGUUGAGGACUCUUAUUAGAGUAUAAAGCUUUAUUGAUAGCUGUGCUACAUGUUUUCCAGAGAAGAAAAAAGUAACUCAGCCAUAUAGUUGAAUUUCCAUAGUUGGCUGGAGGCAGAACCUUCAUGGGACCUGUUCAUUUCAGCCGGGGCCCCCUAGCAUUGGUGUGGCAGCUAUGUGGCACCUAGGCACCUCUUGUAAGAGUCAAGGCUAUGGACAGAGCCUGUCACUGAUGCUUCCAUCCCACCAAAAGGACACUUAAAAGUGAGCCCAAGGCAGCUCAAGGCACUAAGUGAUUUUGUGUUGCUAGAUGACCAACGGUAAGACAAAGGCUAGCCAGGACCAGACCCCAUUCUUUUUUUUCCACCCCCGCUUCUUAGGGCUACACCCACGCACAUGGAGGUUCCCAGGCUAGGGGUUGAAUCGGAGCUAUAGCCGCUGGCCUACACCACAGUCACAGCAACAAGGGAUCCGAGCCGUGUCUGCAACCUACACCACAGCUCACGGCAAUGCCAGAUCCUUAACACACUGAGCAGGGCCAGGGAUCGAACCCAAAACCUCAUGGUUACUAGUCACUGCACAACAACAGGAACUCCCAGAGCCCAUUCUUUUGACUUUAAGGUGCGCCUGAAUCCUGGCCUCUCACACUGUCUAAUUGGACAUAAUGUCACUAGUUUUCUUUUUUUAAAAAUGUUCCCGUGAUAAAAGUAGUACAUGAUUAUAGAAAACAAAACUCAGUUAUAACAUUACCACCCAGAGAUAACCAGUUUUGAUAUUUUGGUAUACUUCCUUCUAGUCUUUUUCAGAAAGUUUAUAUAGACAGUAUUAUAUAUAUUUUAAAAUUUGGACCAUACUAUAUAUAUAGUUUUGCAUCUUUUUGUUUUUCUCAUAACAUUAUAUAAACAUUUUUUUUGGUCUUUGUUGUUGUUGUUGUUGUUGUUGCUAUUUCUUGGGCCGCUCCCGCGGCAUAUGGAGGUUCCCAGGCUAGGGGUCGAAUCGGAGCUGUAGC